rnacentral:rRNA from 1 species
GAUGAACGCUGGCGGCGUGCCUAAUACAUGCAAGUCGAGCGAAUGGAUUAAGAGCUUGCUCUUAUGAAGUUAGCGGCGGACGGGUGAGUAACACGUGGGUAACCUGCCCAUAAGACUGGGAUAACUCCGGGAAACCGGGGCUAAUACCGGAUAACAUUUUGAACCGCAUGGUUCGAAAUUGAAAGGCGGCUUCGGCUGUCACUUCUGGAUGGACCCGCGUCGCAUUAGGUAGUUGGUGAGGUAACGGCUCCCCAAGGCAACGAUGCGUAGCCGACCUGAGAGGGUGAGCGGCCACACUGGGACUGGGACACGGCCCAGACUCCUACGGGAGGCAGCAGUAGGGAAUCUUCCGCAAUGGACGAAAGUCUGACGGAGCAACGCCGCGUGAGUGAUGAAGGCUUUCGGGUCGUAAAACUCUGUUGUUAGGGAAGAACAAGUGCUAGUUGAAUAAGCUGGCACCUUGACGGUACCUAACCAGAAAGCCACGGCGAACUACGUGCCAGCCGCCGCCGUAA